AAGCGGCCGCCUCCGCAGGCAGGACAAGCGCUUCACUCGCGCGGAACCCACGGAGGUGGCGCCCGGGGCCCUGGGUGUAUUCGGAUCGCUUGCACGUGAAUUGCAAUGGUGGGAUCCCCUGCAACAUGAUUCAAAUCCAGCACCAAGACACUUUGAAGUCAUGCUGGAUAUCAUUCAAGGUGGAAGACCACAAUCAGGAACAUCCACAAUAAAUCACUGAAACCUUGAAAGAAGGAACCCACUGUUAGUUCAUAGUGAUAGAAACUGAGAGACAGUGUCUGUUUCCUUGCUACUCUUUGUCAUGGUGACAGGAAUGCAUGGUUUGGAAAUCUGCUAAGCACCAGAGAACAUUCUCCAGACAGCACCCAACAUACAGGUUGUGGUGGAAGCUUGGGAUCCAGGGCCCAGGGCUGCCUCCAGUCACAGACUUUCUGUUGUUAUCAGUUUUAAAUAUUGAAUUUAAUUUAUUAAAGAACACUGCCCUUGAUCUUUUUCUUUUCUUUUUUUAAUAGGAAGCAUAAAGAAAGACAAUGAUCUAAUCAUUUUCUUUCCUUGUCAUGUGAAGAAAUAUGCAUAGACAGGUUCCACAUCCAAGUUCUUAAAAGGAA